rnacentral:tRNA from 1 species
GCCCGAGUGGUGGAAUGGUAGACACGUAGGUCUCAAAAACCUAUGAGCGCAAGUUCAUGUCGGUUCGACUCCGACCUCGGGCA